GUCCAUUCUUCAUAAUGAACCAGAACUGCACGCAUGCAAAGAAAUACCUAUCUUCAAUUUCUUCUCCUGAUGGAAACAACCUGCAAGAUUCCAAAUAUUGGCUAAUCACUUAGGUCAAAAGAGGGGCAGAAUAACCUCAGCAGAAGAAGAGAGAUGUGUGCAUCAAAGGAAGAUUGUGGGUAAAGAUUGGGUGUCUGCAAGUGAAUCAAUAAGUUGAUCAAGAGUGUUAAUGCUGCUUGGAGUGCCAACCUUAUACAAUUCACCUUCUUUUCUGUGUUGCCAGCCUUCUUUGGCAGAUAGCAGCACUUUUAACCAAGUGUUUGAAAUAAUCAGCAGAAGUGACACAGCACAGAAGAAACUAUCAGAGCAGAACCCAGAAUUCGGGACAAAAUAUAAAGAGCUUGGAAGUGACUGUUGUUUCAACUCAACUUCUGAAAGAUUUGUAUUGCUGGCUCUGUGAAUCAAUAUACUCGAUAUAGCUUCAGCAGUACCUGAAGUAAUGAUUAAAUCUGUAAAAUGAUAAAGUUUGUAAAGUCAAGUCAUUCAAGAUAAAGCAAGUAACUACCAAAGACACAAAGGAAAGUUGAUAUAGUGGAAACGAAGCUUGCAAUUUUCCCAGGUGCUUACCAAAUUACUACUGCAAGCUAAUUCACAACCCCCAAGUUAAGAGUUUCAACACAGUGAACAUUAACAGCCUGCUUAUGUUCUUCCUGUACAACAGAAGUAAUGGCAGCAAUGCUGUAAUUCAAAGGAUUAGUCACAAUGGUGAAGACGCAAAGUGCAGAGGGAUAAAGAGUUACCCCCAGCUGCAAUUUUGCAAAGGUAUGUCAUAUGAUGACAUGAGGGUGGCAGAAGAUUUUGAUGGCAACCUGCAUGCAAUUUUGAUCAGUGUUUGGAAGAUUUAUUUCACCAGCAUGUCAUCCUGAAAAAAUAAUCAUCCCUACACCAUGCCUUUUGUUUCCUGAAACAGAUAUUCAAGAUACUGAAAAUGCCUUUUAUCACUUAAAAAAGGACUUUUGGGAAAAAAACAGAAAAAAGUCAAAGGAUAAUUUUUAAAUGAUCAUUUUUAUCCUUAGUCCUAGGGUAUUUUUCUCAAUGAAGAUCAUUAGCACUUUUGUAAGUUCAUCAUUUCUCCUCGUAGCAUUAAGGUCACUAUGAAUAAGGCUAUUUAUCACCAGAAUAAAGGGAAGACAGCCAAACAAUAAUCCAAAUCCAAACGGAACACAUGGGAGGGACAUACUAACAGAGAUAUUUCUUAAUAUUAGAAACCUAGCAAAAGAGGCAUCAAAUUUGUCAGCAGAACUGCAGAUAUGACUCUAUCAAUAAUCCAUGGCACUUUUGUAUUUCCCAGCUGAGGCUAUUAUACAGCUUUGGAUGACAGCCUGCUUCAACUUCAUCAUAUGAUCCACAGGGACGGAAACUCAUAACUGGCUUUCAGCAUAGAUCCUUCAUAUAAAGGGUAAUAACUGCAGCCAGUCAGCGUAGUAGGAUUAUCAGAGAGUGCAGCAAUGAACUGCAAAAUGUGGGAAAGGCAGCUUGAAGUAAAACUCACAAAGCAUCCCCAGAUAACUCCUUUGAACAUAAAGGAGAAAAGAUGGGUGUAUUGGAAAGAUACCCUAUGGAACCUUUCCAAGCAAGGUUUAACUUACUUUAUUUAAUUAAGUGCACAUCUGUCUGCAGGUAUUAAAGAAAAGAUGUUCAUCAGAAAUAAUCCUGGGUGCUGCUUCAAAUGGAAAAGCAAAGGGAAAACUAAUAAGACAGAAUUUGUUUCAGGUAGAGCCGUACCAUACUUUAUGGCUAAAUCUAUUGAUUUCAAUGGAACUGCUUGUGGAAUAAGUUACUACUUAACAUGAGUAAAGGUGGUAGAAUUGAGCCCUUCACAUUUUGUAAAGAAAAAGGAAUAAUGGAUGUGAUUUUCAAGCAUGCCUCAGUGACUUAGGAAUCUCAAUACUAUUUUCAAAAGUGAUCUCGGCUUCUAGAUGCCUACGUCACUUAGGCACUUUUGAAAGCUUUACUCAACAUCGAGUAAUUUUAUCCCCACAAUCUGAUCCCCCUUAAAAAUGAUAGAAAACCUCAUCCUGCCCUGGGAUCCAGUAGGGUGGACCUCCAGCAUCCAUGUGGGAUUCCACUAAUCAAAUGCUGCACAGGCGUCUGUACAGAUUGAAUUGCAGGAACAGGGCCAUAAUUUACGGCAGUGUUUUGUGCAUGUAUGAAUCAUGCAUAGAUACACAUAUACCAGUUUGUUAAGUUUAAAUUAAAGUUGCUAUUAUAUAUGCAUACUGCACUAGGAAUAUAAAAGAAGCAAAAUCAAACCAAUGCAUUCAAAAAUAUGGAUAUGAAUUAACGGAAGGUAGGUAAAUAUUCACAUACAUUCACAGUUUAUACAAUCUGUUCAAUGCACAUCCAGCACUGCAAAAAGUAAGUUUUGGUUUUGUUUUGUUUUUUAAUUCUUCUUCCAAAGCCCUUAAGGAAACCUGUUAAAUGGCCAGUGAGAUCAUAGAGAUAUAGAUAUUUAUUGGAUAUAUUUAUAGAAUAUAUUUAUGUUGACUACUACAGAAAAUCUUGCCAAUAUUUUAAAAAUAUAUUAUCUCCUUUUCUUUUUUGUACUGGAUAAAAUAAAAAGUAACAUAAGC